GCGGCGCGUGCGCUACGACAAGGCGCAGGCGCUGCAGGCCGCCUUCGAGGCCGACCGCGAAGCGCGCUUCGCCGGCGCGGAGCCGGCCACGCUGCGC
rnacentral:tRNA from 1 species